GAUGAACGCUAGCGGGAGGCUUAACACAUGCAGCCGAGGGGUAUAUAGUUUUCGGAUUAUAGAGACCGGCGCACGGGUGCGUAACGCGUAUGUAACUUACCCUGAUCAAAGGGAUAGCCCAGAGAAAUUUGGAUUAAUACCUUAUAAUACUUUGAAUGGCAUCAUUUAGAGUUGAAAGAUUUAUCGGAUCAGGAUAGACA
rnacentral:rRNA from 1 species